UGUCCUUUGGUUACUCAAUUAUUGUACGACUAUAGUGUAGUUCGUUUAGAUUCCCCAUAUAUCUUUUUACUCACACAAUUCCUGAUUAGACGACUCCGCAUACACAAUAAUUCACAUAUAAUUACCAGGCGAUAAAACCGAUAUAUGACCGUAACUGUUGUGACAUUUUUAGUGAAAUAUCACAAAAAUCAGAUAAUUUAUUUAGUAGAUAUUCGAACAGUAGAGUUUGUAAACAAAUUUUGGUGGUGUUGUUAGUGGUUUAGUA